GAAGUCCCGUCCAUUGGACGAGCCAUUUCGUAACUGAUCUGUUCUUCUUUUUCUCAAUAGCAAUAUCAAGGACUUUUAGUGGAGUCCAGGAGAUUCAUCAGUGAAGGGAGGAAGAGUGGUCGAGACUGUGGUGUGAUCUGCAAUCCUCUUUUUCAGGAGUGAAACAUGGAAAGUAGGAUGGAGCUUGCAUUGUGGCGGCAGGAGAUGUAUGUAAGCCACCAGACUGAACUUCGCUGUGAUCUGGAAGGGUCCAUAAUAUCGAGGAGCAAGCUUCUGUGAAGGACGGUUGCAGAGUGACUUUUGCCGAUAUGGAUGAAGUUUGACGUAUACCCAAUCCCCAAUUUCAAAGCUCAAGGUUUACGGCAUGGACUGCUGUGGAGCCAGGAAGAUAGCGAUGGAUGCUCGGUGGUGGAGUGCCAUAAAUAGCUUGAAAAGGAGUCAUCUGGGUUGUGGAAUUGUAAGUGGUAUUAUACCACCAUUCUGCCCAAUGGAGCAAAUUGGCCCAGGAAUUAGGUCGAGCUCCUGCACAACUUAGUUCCUUGGGAUUUGAAAAGAGCCUCCCAGAAAUGGCUGGUGAAGAUUGGGUCACGGUCGCUGACAAUAGAGCGAGGAAGGCCAUGAAGCCGGAAGAUUUCUCUGAGGAAAGCCUAUGCUAUUGUGGCAGCUGUGUAGGGAUGAGUGACAGUGACAAAGUGGCCGUGCUUCGAGAGACGGUCGAUUACCACCAUUAUGGCAUUCUUACCAUUUGAGACAGGAAGGCCGUCGAUGAAAUCCAUCGAUAUGUCAACCCACGUAUUGUCUGGCACCGGUAAUGGUUUGAGAAUGCCAGGAGGCUUCAAGGUUUCAUAGUUUUGGCGCUGGCAGGUGUCACAAGUUGCCACAAAGCACUUCACAUCCUUGCGCAUACCCGGCCAACCAAAGCUACGGCCCAAGCGAUUCAAAGUUUGAAGGUAGUCGGAAUGCCCUGCCUCCAAGGAUGAAUGAAAUUCUGAAAGAAUCUUGAAUCUUCAAUCCGAUGUUUCUGGUAUGUAGAUGCGAUUUUUAUAGUGAAGCCUUCCAUCGGACAGAGAGAAGCCCUUCUUGGAUUGGUUCCUUGAUUGAAGUGCCUGGACAAUUGAUUGAGCUACAGGGUCUUGUUCACAAGCAAGGUCAAUAGCUUUGAUGCUAUCAAAGACGGGGCUGGAUAUGGCUUGUAUGGCAUGGAGCUCCUCGCGGCGAGAUAAAGCAUCAGGUACAGUAUUAAGGCUGCCAGCUCAGUAUUGAAUUUUGUAGCCAUACCCCAUGAGUUUGGAUAGCCACUUAUAUUGAAAUUACAAAAUGGAUAUUUAUGUUUCCCAACU